rnacentral:rRNA from 1 species
GAUGAACGCUGGCGGCGUGCCUAAUACAUGCAAGUCGAGCGAACGGACGAGAAGCUUGCUUCUCUGAUGUUAGCGGCGGACGGGUGAUUAACACGUGGAUAACCUACCUAUAAGACUGGGAUAACUUCGGGAAACCGGAUCUCAUACCGGAUAAUAUUUUGAACCGCAUGGUUCAAAAGUGAAAGACGGUCUUGCUGUCACUUAUAGAUGGAUCCGCGCUGCAUUAGCUAGUUGGUAAGGUAACGGCUUACCAAGGCAACGAUGCAUAGCCGACCUGAGAGGGUGAUCGGCCACACUGGAACUGAGACACGGUCCAGACUCCUACGGGAGGCAGCAGUAGGGAAUCUUCCGCAAUGGGCGAAAGCCUGACGGAGCAACGCCGCGUGAGUGAUGAAGGUCUUCGGAUCGUAAAACUCUGUUAUUAGGGAAGAACAUAUGUGUAAGUAACUGUGCACAUCUUGACGGUACCUAAUCAGAAAGCCACGGCUAACUACGUG